CUUACCUUGUGGUUCUGGUUACGUACUCUCUGGCUUGUUUAUCUGACGCUGUGACUUUCUCCUACCCUUUGACCUCGGCUUGUUUCACGUUAUUCUGUCUUCUGGUUCCCCUUACUCGGCUUGUCUCCUGACUAUUCUGUGUGUGCUUAGCCCGGCCACUCUAAGGUCCGGUACGGCACCUUUUCUGUGUGUGUGUGUGUGUGUGUGCCAGCGUGUUGGGUUCCCGAAUUGUGACAUUAACCACCUUAUGGAUAACGGAACCAUGGGGGGUGAGAUGUCCAUGG